rnacentral:other from 1 species
GACGGCGCCCUGUUUUCCCCUCUCCUGUCAAACGCUAUCAGCCGCCUUUCUGCUGUCUUUGCAUAAACGCUGAAAUCCCAUAUAUUCUCUGCAUUUUCUCAUGUUUUUGGUUGACUGAACUAUGAAUUUAUGGUAUUGUUGAAUCAUGCUCAAUACGAGCAGUGUAAGUCAUUUUUUUAGGAGGAAUUUCCAUGAAAGGUACAGUUAAGUGGUUCAGUGCAGAAAAAGGCUACGGCUUUAUUGAAAGAGAAGAAGGCGGCGACGUUUUCGUUCAUUUCUCUGCUAUUCAGGCUGAUGGCUUCAAAACACUGAAUGAAGGCCAGAAGGUCGAUUUCGAAAUUAUUGAUGGUGCAAGAGGACCUCAGGCUGCUAACGUUAAAGUUGAAGGCUGAUCACUGAACUGACUGCUAUAUAGCGUAAGUUUGUAACCAAAGAUAAAAAGAGAGCCGUGAAUCAUUGGAUUCGCGGCUCUCUUU